rnacentral:tRNA from 3 species
GCGCCCGUAGCUCAAUUGGAUAGAGCACGUGACUACGGAUCACGAGGUUGCAGGUUCGACUCCUGCCGGGCGCGCCA